rnacentral:rRNA from 1 species
CCUACGGGAGGCAGCAGUGAGGAAUAUUGGUCAAUGGACGAGAGUCUGAACCAGCCAAGUAGCGUGAAGGAUGACUGCCCUAUGGGUUGUAAACUUCUUUUAUAUGGGAAUAAAACAGGGUAUGCAUACCCUCUUGUAUGUACCAUAUGAAUAAGGAUCGGCUAACUCCGUGCCAGCAGCCGCGGUAAUACGGAGGAUCCGAGCGUUAUCCGGAUUUAUUGGGUUUAAAGGGAGCGUAGGUGGAUUGUUAAGUCAGUUGUGAAAGUUUGCGGCUCAACCGUAAAAUUGCAGUUGAAACUGGCAGUCUUGAGUACAGUAGAGGUGGGCGGAAUUCGUGGUGUAGCGGUGAAAUGCUUAGAUAUCACGAAGAACUCCGAUUGCGAAGGCAGCUCACUGGACUGCAACUGACACUGAUGCUCGAAAGUGUGGGUAUCAAACAGGAUUAGAUACCCCAGUAGUC